CGAUCUAGAAAGACCAGUCUCUCCUGCAUCCAGCACUAUUUCCGGGAUGAGUGUACGUUCAAGGGAUGAUCCUCCCAACUUAAGUAAAGGAGAACCAGGCUGGAACAGACCUGUCCCUCAUUCAGCUGUGGAAAAGGAAAAUACAUGCAGUGUACUUCCUUCAAUGGAGACUGACCAGGAUGGGAAAGACAUCAGGACAGGUAGAUAAUGAACGAUCAAUGUAUAUACUUUAUAACGACUUUUAAGUCAAAGACAAAACAUGUCAAAUGUAGAUUUACAUUUGUUUAUUGUCCUUGCAUUUGUCUCUGAGCCUUAACAGCAGGUAGAACACAAUACAUCUUGUUACGCUGUACUUUAUAUCUCAUUAUAACACGGGUAGAUAAAAUCCAGCAUUCUGAUUGGUUGAGAUUGAGUCACGGGGGGUGCAUUAUUGUGCGAUGAUGUACAGUUGCUGGUCACA